rnacentral:rRNA from 1 species
CCUACGGGUGGCAGCAGUGGGGAAUAUUGCACAAUGGGGGAAACCCUGAUCCAGCAACGCCGCGUGAGUGAAGAAGUAUUUCGGUAUGUAAAGCUCUAUCAGCAGGGAAGAAAAUGACGGUACCUGACUAAGAAGCCCCGGCCAACUACGAGCCAGCAGCCGCGGUAAUACGGAGGGGGCAAGCGUUAUCCGGAUUUACUGGGUGUAAAGGGGGCGUAGGCGGCAGCACAAGUCUGGCGGGAAAUCCCCGGGCUUAACCCCGGAACUGCUUUGGAAACUGGGCGCCUGGAGUGCAGGAGAGGUAAGCGGAAUUCCUGGUGUAGCGGUGAAAUGCGUAGAUAUUAGGAGGAACACCGGUGGCGAAGGCGGCUUACUGGACUGUAACUGACGUUGAGGCACGAAAGCGUGGGGAGCAAACAGGAUUAGAUACCCCUGUAGUC